rnacentral:miRNA from 1 species
AUGGCAUCCAAGAGAGUAAUGCACACCAUCAGGAGAUGUGCCAUUACUGUCAAUGGCAAAAACUGCGACUACUUUUGCACCAACCUAAUAG